rnacentral:rRNA from 1 species
GAUGAACGCUGGCGGCGUGCCUAAUACAUGCAAGUCGAACGAACAGACGAGGAGCUUGCUCCUCUGACGUUGUCGGCGGACGGGUGAUGAACACGUGGUUAACCUACCUAUACGACUGGGAUAACUUCGGGAAACCGUAGCUAAUGCCGGAUAAUAUAUUGAACCUCAUUGUUCCAUAGUUAGAGUCGGUUUUUCUGUCACUUAUAGAUGGAUCCGCGCCGCAUUCACUAGUUGGGAAGGUAACUGCUUACCAAGGCUACGAUGCGUAGCCGACCUGAGAGGGUGAUUGGCCACCCUGGAACUGAGACACGGCCCCGACUCCUACAGGAGGCAGCAGUCGAGAAUCUUCCGCAAUGGGGGAAAGCCUAACGGUGGAACGCCGCGUGAGUGCUGAUGGUCUUAGGAUCGUAAAACUCUGUUAGUAGUGAAGAACAAAUGUGUAAGUAACUAUGCACAUAUUGACAGUACCUAAUCAGAAAGCCACGGCUAACUACGUG